rnacentral:piRNA from 1 species
AAAACUUACAAAUAACUUACCGAAUGC